rnacentral:rRNA from 1 species
AGUGAUUAGAGUUUGAUCCUGGCUCAGAUUGAACGCUGGCGGCAUGCCUUACACAUGCAAGUCGAACGGCAGCACGGGAGCAAUCCUGGUGGCGAGUGGCGAACGGGUGAGUAAUAUAUCGGAACGUGCCCAGUCGUGGGGGAUAACGCAGCGAAAGCUGUGCUAAUACCGCAUACGAUCUCUGGAUGAAAGCGGGGGACUCGCAAGGGCCUCGCGCGAUUGGAGCGGCCGAUAUCAGAUUAGCUAGUUGGUGGGGUAAAAGCCCACCAAGGCGACGAUCUGUAGCUGGUCUGAGAGGACGACCAGCCACACUGGAACUGAGACACGGUCCAGACUCCUACGGGAGGCAGCAGUGGGGAAUUUUGGACAAUGGGCGAAAGCCUGAUCCAGCAAUGCCGCGUGCAGGAUGAAGGCCUUCGGGUUGUAAACUGCUUUUGUACGGAACGAAACGGUCGCCUCUAAUACGGGUGGCUAAUGACGGUACCGUAAGAAUAAGCACCGGCUAACUACGUGCCAGCAGCCGCGGUAAUACGUAGGGUGCGAGCGUUAAUCGGAAUUACUGGGCGUAAAGCGUGCGCAGGCGGUUAUAUAAGACAGAUGUGAAAUCCCCGGGCUCAACCUGGGACCUGCAUAUGUGACUGUAUAGCUAGAGUACGGUAGAGGGGGAUGGAAUUCCGCGUGUAGCAGUGAAAUGCGUAGAUAUGCGGAGGAACACCGAUGGCGAAGGCAAUCCCCUGGACCUGUACUGACGCUCAUGCACGAAAGCGUGGGGAGCAAACAGGAUUAGAUACCCUGGUAG